rnacentral:tRNA from 1 species
GGAGACGUGGCUGAGCUGGUCGAAAGCGCCUCACUGCUAACGAGGUAAGCCCGUUAAACGGCUUCGUGGGUUCGAAUCCCACCGUCUCCG